UGAACGCUGGCGGCGUGCCUAAUACAUGCAAGUCGAGCGAACAGACGAGGAGCUUGCUCCUCUGACGUUAGCGGCGGACGGGUGAGUAACACGUGGAUAACCUACCUAUAGACUGGGAUAACUUCGGGAAACCGGAGCUAAUACCGGAUAAUAUAUUGAACCGCAUGGUUCAAUAGUGAAAGACGGUUUUGCUGUCACUUAUAGAUGGAUCCGCGCCGCAUUAGCUAGUUGGUAAGGUAACGGCUUACCAAGGCAACGAUGCGUAGCCGACCUGAGAGGGUGAUCGGCCACACUGGAACUGAGACACGGUCCAGACUCCUACGGGAGGCAGCAGUAGGGAAUCUUCCGCAAAGGGCGAAAGCCUGACGGAGCAACGCCGCGUGAGUGAUGAAGGUCUUCGGAUCGUAAAACUCUGUUAUUAGGGAAGAACAAAUGUGUAAGUAACUAUGCACGUCUUGACGGUACCUAAUCAGAAAGCCACGGCUAACUACGUG
rnacentral:rRNA from 1 species